rnacentral:rRNA from 1 species
CAAAGGGGGAUUUGCCCCAGUAACGGCGAGUGAAGCGGCAAGAGCUCAAAUUUGAAAUCUGGCCUCCCUUGGGGGGUCCGAGUUGUAAUUUGUAGAGGAUGCUUCGGGUGUGGCCGCCGUCUAAGUUCCUUGGAACAGGACGUCGUAGAGGGUGAGAAUCCCGUCUUGGGCGGCCGGUCCGCGCCCGUGUGAAGCUCCUUCGACGAGUCGAGUUGUUUGGGAAUGCAGCUCUAAGCGGGUGGUAAAUUUCAUCUAAAGCUAAAUACUGGCCGGAGACCGAUAGCGCACAAGUAGAGUGAUCGAAAGGUUAAAAGCACCUUGAAAAGGGAGUUAAACAGCACGUGAAAUUGUUGAAAGGGAAGCGCUUGCGGCCAGACUCGAGGGGCGGGGUUCAGCGGGUGCGCGUCACCCGUGCACUCCCCGUCCCCCCGGGCCAGCAUCAGUUUCGACGGCCGGUCAAAGGCCCCCGGAAUGUGUCGUCUCUAGGGACGUCUUAUAGCCGGGGGUGCAAUGCGGCCCGCCGGGACUGAGGAACGCGCUCCGGCUCGGAUGCUGGCGUAAUGGCCGUAAGCGGCCCGUCUUGAAACACGGACCCAAAA